CUGGGCGGGAACCAGCGACGGCGAAGCCGGGAAAGGAGAGGGGUGGCCGGGCAGGCGGGCGGCGCCAUGGCCGGCGCUUACCACUGGGAAGCCCGCCGAAGGCAAUUGGCGAUGGAGCGCCGGCUGCAGAAGAUACAGAGAGGAAGUGAAGAGAAGAACCCAAGACAGGACCUCGAGGGACAGGCCAGGAACAGCACUGGACUGACGAGAAGACUCUCUGAAGCAGUGCAGCCUCAGAAAGUCCCAAAAAAGCAGCCCCCCUACCAGAAGUCUCAGAACCGCCCAUCAACGCCACCACCUCCACCUCCACCUUCUCGUGAAGUAAAAGAAGAACAUUGCCCGUGUAACACCGACCAUGUCCUGAAGAACAGUGGCAAACUCUUGAAAAGAUACACGCAUAUGUGGUAACGUCUUUCUCUGGGUGAGAUUCUCCAACUCUCCUGAUACAGCGUAGUACUUUCUCUUUUCUUACCUUUCAUCAAGAAGAUGAACCUGUGCUAAUUAUGCACAAGAAUUCGCCACUGAGUAUGUACAACAGCGUUAACUGCAGAGCAGCUGAUAGCUGCCGGAAGAAUGUCUCUUCUGUAGCUCUGAAUUGGAACUCAGUGUUGCUGACAUCAGUGGUGCAAGACUGAAUGGCAAAGAGUUAAUGAUUCCAUGCAUUGGGAACUCACCUUACCUUGCAAUAAAAAACUCUCCCAGGUUGCAGACACAAA